CUACCAGCUGCGGAUCGAGUGCAUGCUGCUGUGCGAGGGCACGGCCGUGGUGCUGGACAUGGUGCGGCCCAAGGCCCAGCUGAUGCUCAGGGCCUGCGAGAGCCUGCUCUCCAGCCGCCAGCUGCCUGUCUUCUGCCAGCUGAUCCUGAGGAUCGGGAACUUCCUCAACUAUGUGAGCCACACAGGGC